rnacentral:rRNA from 1 species
UGACGAACGCUGGCGGCGUGCUUAACACAUGCAAGUCGAACGAGAAUCUACUGAAAGAGUUUUCGGACGAUGGAAGUAGAGGAAAGUGGCGGACGGGUGAGUAACGCGUGAGGAACCUGCCUUGAAGAGGGGGACAACAGUUGGAAACGACUGCUAAUACCGCAUGAUGCAUAAGGGUCGCAUGAUUCUUAUGCCAAAGAUUUAUCGCUUCAAGAUGGCCUCGCGUCUGAUUAGCUAGUUGGCGGGGUAACGGCCCACCAAGGCGACGAUCAGUAGCCGGACUGAGAGGUUGAACGGCCACAUUGGGACUGAGAUACGGCCCAGACUCCUACGGGAGGCAGCAGUGGGGAAUAUUGGGCAAUGGGCGCAAGCCUGACCCAGCAACGCCGCGUGAAGGAAGAAGGCUUUCGGGUUGUAAACUUCUUUUAAGAGGGAAGAGCAGAAGACGGUACCUCUAGAAUAAGCCACGGCUAACUACGUGCCAGCAGCCGCGGUAAUACGUAGGUGGCAAGCGUUGUCCGGAUUUACUGGGUGUAAAGGGCGUGCAGCCGGGUCUGCAAGUCAGAUGUGAAAUCCAUGGGCUCAACCCAUGAACUGCAUUUGAAACUGUAGAUCUUGAGUGUCGG